ACGAUAUUAAAGGGACUCAUUCAUCUGCUUACUCCGGGACUUCAACAGCAAGAAGUAGAUACAAGAAUGACUUCCGGGACUCUGGAGGACCUAAGAACCAAACAGUACAGGAGUUGGAAAAAUAUGUUGUACACAAGGCUGAAGAGACAACAAAGACCGUUAACAGCUGCUUGAGGAUUGUAGAAGACAUGAGACAGGACGCAACAAAAACUUUGAUCACCUUACAUCAGCAAGGGGAACAAAUUACAAGAACCCACACAACUGCAGCUGACAUUGACCAUGACCUUAGCAGAGUAUGGGUUAGUCUACUGCAUUUUGUAGUUUGCAAAAGAACAUGUUUUGGAUUAACAUUACCCCUUAUAUCAUCAGGGAUUGCCAAUGCCCAUCUGUUUUUCUUGUUUCUGCAACUUUUCAUUCUUUAGUAUUUCAUUAAAUAACUCAAAUAUUGUUUGAAAUUUAUGCUGACGGGGUAGGUUACUUCCUUGUUCAUUUUGAGAUGAAACUUUAUAGUUUUUAGGAGGGAAUACAGAUUUUGUUUAGAUUUUUAUCUUGCAACUAAAAUAGACAUAGAAACUAUGAAUGAGAGGGGGAGAAGAACAUUUGAAUGAGUCGAAUUAAAAGGACAAAAGAAACACGUAUAGAACAGCGAAACAGAUUGCUACACAUAUAAGAAGAAAUGUAGAAAGAGUUGCCAAAGUACUGCUUUGCCACUGAAUAUUUUCUAAUAUUUUGUGCAGGUGGAUGUUGUAUGAUGCAGGCAAAAACUGGACGAAAGGAUGACCCUCAAGGACAUUCAGCUUAUAUGGAUGUCAGACCUUCCAAAUUCAGGAAGGAGAAAGGAUAAAUGGGGCACAAAGGAGCUUGUGAUUGAGAUAGGGUACAUCAGAAGCGAGAAGUCUGAAACUCCCCAAAAGAAAUAAGAAACUUAAAGACUAUCAGUAGACAAUUUCUGUACUUUCAUAAUAAUAGCCUCAGAGAUAUUAGUACCUUUCUUUUUUCGUUGCAACAACUACCAGCCUCGAACUAUUGAUCUAGUGGCAUGGAGAGGACUCUCUCAACCACUAUGAACAAGAAUGGCUAGUAUUUAGUACCUUUCUCUGUGUUGUUAUUGGCAAAUAAUCUAUGCUUAGGACUUGUGUUCUCUAGUUUUCUCUAUCAAAAAUUAUGCUAUGGACUGCUAUUUACCUCUAUCAUCUAGGUUGCACUGGGCUGCUUGAUCUUUGCAUAUUCCACCACUAUGUAAUGUACAAUGAAAAAGUUUUUCAGAAUGCGUUUUACAACAACAACAACUACCCAGUAUACUCCCACCAGGUGGGGUCUGGGGAAGGUAAUAUGUAGACAGCCUUACCCCUACCCAAAAGGGCAGAGAGGCUGCUUCCAAGAGAAUGCGUUUUACAAUAAGCAGGUUUUUCAGAAAGUCUGGAUUGACUUUCACUAAUUUAUACUCCUCUACGUACAGAUGGAUGUAAAGCUAUUUGGAACUUUUUUGCCCAUCAGCUUUUAUUAUAGAGUUGGUAGCCCCUUCACUUCUGUCCUUCUUCAGCCCAUCCAUUAGUGUUUGACAUACAAUUUGUGACUUGAAGAGUCAAUUCGAGCUCAAACCAAAUAUUGUUAUUCAUAUAUCGUUGUUUUUCUAGUAGUUCAAACCCUAGUUCAAUCAUAUUCAAAUGAAGAGCUCCCUAUGCACCCAAUAAAGAAUGAUUGUACUUUCCUUUUUGCUUCGUCAUAGAAAACCUUGACCACCUUCCUUGAUAUACAAAUAUUUCUCCCUCCAAAAAUGCAAACAACUAUAAAACUAAAUUACUCCUUAUCCAUAAAAGAUAGUUUUGGACUCUCCCAGAAUGUCCACAUUACUACUUAAAAUCAUUUUCCCCUGACUUUUUAUUAGCUUUGAUACUAUACUAAUUCAGAAGCUACAAUUAUGGAAUAUCGAUUUGACAAAAAAAGUAACUUAGCCAACUCUGCUUCUAAACUUCAUUGAUCAAUCAAAGAUUUUCACACAGAAAAUAGUGACAAUGAUGCAUAGGCUUCUUGAGAAGCCGCGAACAGUGAAAAUGGUACAUAACACUUAGGACUAAUGAGAAAAGGCAAGUUGAAGCAGAAUAUAUAGAUUUAAGAGAAGGCAAAAUAAUUCAACCAAUUUUAUCGUGAGUAAAUUAUUGUACAACAAAGAACAAAGUUCUAUAUAUACUUGUUUCUCUCAUUCUUCUAUUCUAUUUAUUCUAAGUUAUUCAAUACUACUUUUUCUUUUUCCAGAUUUCACUUCGAAUAGAUACUUUUAUUGUUCAAAUAUAAGUAAAAGAUUAUUCUGAUCCUUUCAAACCUUCACGCGGACAAACUAACCAGUUAUAUAUAUAUCAUACUGGGACAAAACGUUUGAACAUGGUUGAAUUCAUAUCUCGACUAUCGGCAUUCAACUAAAACAUCAAUAUGCAUCAACUGACACUUGGAAAAUUUCUGAAAAAUAACAGUGCCUUAGAAAACAGAGGAACCAAUUCAAAAACAAGAGAGUAACAUAGGACGAAUCAAUUCAAUCAAUCGACUAUCAAUCUAACAACAACCGAGUAUUACAAACAUAUUAGUAAAUACAGAAAAAAGCUAUACUUUCACAAAUCCCAAAAGGCCAUAGUUGCAUAUCAAAAAUCACAAAUCCAAAUUGGAACCUGGUAAGCAAAAAUUUUUGUCGAUUAAGAGCAGAAAUUGAAAGAGACGAAGGUUUUCUGCAAUAAUUCUUGAAACCUACAUGAAAUAGAAGUUGAAGACGAAUGAGAGAAGAUUGACAGAGAAGACUGAUAAUAAUCGAGCAGCAUAAACUCAAACUUAUAUAUAACCCAAUGCCGAGAAUGACCUGGGUUGCCGGAAACCGUCGCAGGGCGGAGGCUUUUGCAGCGAUGCUGUUAACGCAGGUUUUCCGUCGUUCCUGUAGCGUUCUAAUUGCAGGCGAUUUGUAUCAUUCUGUAUCGUCCUAAUUACGCGCAGGUUUGGUUUUUCCUUUUUGUUUUAACUGUAGGGUUUUCUAAUGGGAGGGAAUGUAAUUUAUUGUCCCAAAAAAUUGAAAGAA
rnacentral:lncRNA from 1 species